rnacentral:rRNA from 1 species
GUGUCUCGCACAGAUGCAUAUCAAUAAGCGGAGGAAAAGAAACUAACAAGGAUUCCCUUAGUAACGGCGAGUGAAGCGGGAAGAGCUCAAAUUUGAAAUCUUCAAGGUUUUACCUUGACGAAUUGUAGUUUAAAGAAGUGUUUUCUGUUGAAGUUUUGGUAAAAGUUCUUUGGAAUAGGACAUCACUAGAGGGUGAGAAUCCCGUAUUUGACCAUUAUUUUCAGCUGUGUGAUACACUUUCAAAGAGUCGGAUUGUUUGGGAAUGCAGUCCAAAAUGGGUGGUAAAUUUCAUCUAAAGCUAAAUAUUGGCGAGAGACCGAUAGCGAACAAGUACCGUGAGGGAAAGAUGAAAAGAACUUUGAAAAGAGAGUUAAACAGUACGUGAAAUUGUCAAAAGGGAAGCGUUUGACACCAGUGUUGUUUUCCUCGAAAAUCAAUUAAAAAGAGUUAGAUUUUGUUGUGUAUUGACCUUAACAGCUUGCAUUUCAAUUUUCUUGCUUUUUUAAUGCACUUUUCGUUUAACAAGUCAACAUCAGUUUCUUUUGUUGUAAAAAGGUCAUUGGAAGGUGGCUUUCUUUUCGGAGAAAGUGUUUAUAGCCUUUGACUCCUGCAAUCGGAGAGACUGAGGUCUGCAGCGUAGAUCCUUCGGGGUUAGAUACAUUUGUGCUAAGUUAUAGCUUUUUAUAGACAACUUGUUGACUAUGAUUAGUCUUGUAGCUUACUCGCUUAUGCUAUUUUACCUACGCUUAGGAUGUUGAAGAUGUAGCACAUCAU